rnacentral:piRNA from 1 species
UCCUUACCUGAAUCUGAGUGGCUGGCUGU